rnacentral:rRNA from 1 species
AGAGUUUGAUCCUGGCUCAGAACGAACGCUGGCGGCAGGCCUAACACAUGCAAGUCGGACGAUGGCUUCGGCCAUAGUGGCGCACGGGUGAGUAACGCGUGGGAACCUACCCUAAGGUUGGGAACAACGGAGGGAAACUUCCGCUAAUACCCAAUAUCUCCUCCGGGAGAAAGAUUUAUCGCCUAAGGAGGGGCCCGCGUUGGAUUAGCUAGUUGGUGGGGUAAAAGCCUACCAAGGCUGCGAUCCAUAGCUGGUCUGAGAGGAUGAUCAGCCACACUGGGACUGAGACACGGCCCAGACUCCUACGGGAGGCAGCAGUGGGGAAUAUUGGACAAUGGGCGCAAGCCUGAUCCAGCCAUGCCGCGUGAGUGAAGAAGGCCCUUAGGGUUGUAAAGCUCUUUCAGCGGGGACGAUGAUGACGGUACCCGCAGAAGAAGCCCCGGCUAACUUCGUGCCAGCAGCCGCGGUAAUACGAAGGGGGCUAGCGUUGUUCAGAUUUACUGGGCGUAAAGGGCGCGUAGGCGGAUAAUCAAGUCAGAGGUGAAAGCCCCGGGCUCAACCUGGGAACUGCCUUUGAAACUGAUUGUCUUGAGUACGGAAGAGGAUGGUGGAAUACCCAGUGUAGAGGUGAAAUUCGUAGAUAUUGGGUGGAACACCGGUGGCGAAAGCGACCAUCUGGUCCGUAACUGAC